CGAAAUGCUCAACAAAUCCAACCUGGUUAUUUACUGCCUCAUUAUUCUAUUCUUGAUCAUAAGUAAAGUGAUGGAAGGGAUCAUCAACAGUGCUAUCAAGCAGCAUUUGCUUUGCAUUAUCCUGCUCACUGACAUUCCGUUUGGGUUCAGGCAGGACCACUCUGUUCCUGACAUCAUUACAGCCUUGAUUCAAACAUGGGGAGAGGAGCUGAACAGGGAGCAGUCUGGAAGUUAAGAGAUUAUAAAAACUGACUUCGUAGAUUUGAGGCCUGCAUUUCAGAACCAGAGCUGAGCAGGAGCGAACAGAGAACAGUCUGGGAAGAAGUUAAUUUAUACAGACCUACAGUUCCUCAAGCAACUCCAACUGCCUCAAACAUUGGCCAUUCUUUAUGGGGAAACAUAUACAGUGAGUUGGAGAGUGAAAAGAAGGAGGCCUACAUUUAUUUGCCCUACCUAAGAAAAUCCCAACCCCAAUGAAUGCCAUUUUAAUUUUGGAAUAUCUACAACAACAACCAAUAAGAAAGAUUCAUAUUGUGAUUUAUUGUGUCUCUCAGGACUUCCUAAACUUCUUUCCAUACAAAGCUACAUUUAAUUGCAUUUCAUCUUUCUAUAAAAAAGAUGAAAAUAAUUAUUCUGCUGCUGUUCUGCAAGAAAUCAUUUUUGUGAUUAAACACAUAUGGCAGUAAAUUUCUGUAAAUUACCAGCUUCACAGACCUUGAAUUUUUUCUCUUCUCUAUCAUAACAAAACAUGGAGAGCACAGCUGGCAGAUAAGUGACUGUCACUUGUAAUAUGUACAAGAUCAUUUAUAUAUCACUAACUCACUAGAGGAAAUAAAGCAAUUUAUUUGUAUAAUGUUGUUCUACUGCAACUGACUAAACCUAAAAUGGAAUAACAUCAAAUGACAGCAUGAAAAACAAAACAUGUGAGUAUAAGACGGCAGCUUGAAUGGAAGGUAUUGAUUUAGUUAAAGUUUUUAGAAGAUUGCAGUAAACAAUACAUUAUACAAUCCACCUCACUUUUUUGUUCAAAUUCUGAGAGAAAUUUGCUUCAGGUGCUCUCCUUAUCCAUUAUUGUCAUUCAAAAGAUAGGACUGUGGGACAACCCUACAACAUUUUCUGAAUUGUAAACUCUUAGUUUAUUUAUUCCUAUCAAAUACAUGAAUUAGUUAUAUUAGUCCAAUGAGAAACAAUUCAUAAUCUGAUUUAGUCCACUGUGAAAAAGCAAUAAAUAAUCAGAAUGUGCUUGCAUUCAAUCAAUAGAGAUGUGAUAGUUCUUAGCAAAGCUCAGUGAAAGAAACUGAUGUAUAAUCCUAUACCUAAAAACUUAGGUUAGAACUGACAUCAGUACCUCAUCUGUAUCCUUAUUUUAAAUAUAUACUUUUGGAUACUGUGAAGAAGAAACAAAAUUUUCAGCCAUACUCAUUAGAUUGAUGUGAAUAUAUAAUAAUAAUAAUGUGCUUUUCACUUUUGUUUGUAAUGUGUCAUGCUUUAUUAUAUUACAGUCAGCUGUGAAACAAGGUCACU